rnacentral:lncRNA from 1 species
UUGACUUAAGUUGUAUGACAACUUAAUGACUAAAUAUUCAUAAAGGCCCAAACAACCCAAUAACACCCUAUGGCCGGCCAUAUUGAUAAAGGAGUGAGUUUUGGAUUUAUUACAAGUUUGCCACUCCAAUGAAGGUAGGUAUAAAUAUGACUUUAUAGCCUUUUCUUCAUUAGGGUUUCUUUUAGAGAAAAUAUGAGAACACAAUGUCUCUCCCUUUCUCUCUAAGAGGCCAGCCACCCUAGAGGAUUUUAGCUAGCAGUCUUACUUCCUCUAGGUCACUUAUCUCUUCUUCAAGUCCAUCCUUGGUGUGGACAAAUUAGAGGUUCUCAACUUUGGGAACUUGGAACCAUCCUCCUCCAAGAAAUCGAUGGAACUAAGAAGCAAGGAAUGAAGGCCCUCUCCUUGGGGGAUUAGCCUUUGCUUAUGCAAAGAGGAAUCAACAAAGGUAUAAAAUAUCUCAACUCACUUUAUUCUUGAGUUGAGUCUUGGUUCACCUUUCUACUAGGCUUUGAAUUUCAUGGGUAAUGUUUUGUUUUUGAGUGCAUACAAGCAUGAUUCCGCCUUUAAAUGUUAAUUGCAUGCCAUAGAUGUUGCUCAAAUGAACAUGUUUUUCACAAAAUUUCCUUCAGCUUGCACUAUCCAAUCCAGGCUAAAAAAUGCACCAAAUUUCCUUAAGUUUCGUCAUUUAGUUCCAAAUGCUAGAACUCAUGCCUAUUUCAUUCAAAGCAUGCUAUUGAUUUGCAUAACACAUAUUCAAGAUGAAGUUGUGUAGUGACCACCAAAGCCAAAUUACCGUGCCCCUAUUUCAUUAUGUGUUUAAGUUUAACCUCGUUGAGCCUUGUUAAGCCUAUGUUCUUUGUUAACCCACACUAUCCUUACCUACCCUAAUUUUAGGACCAUCCGUACCCUUAUUCUUGAAGCAUAGUAAAGCAUGACUUAAAAUGAACUCCUUUUUUAUCAAUGUAUUGCAGAAAACAAGUGUGGGGGAAGUGAUUCUAUUGUCUAUGUGUGUGCCAAAGUCCUUAAUAAGGCACGGGUAGAAAAGAAAAAAAAAAGAGUGAAAAGAAAAAAGAAUUGAAAAGAGUAUGAAAAAGAGCUCUAAAGUGUUGUUUGUUAAAAAAGGGUCCAAAACAUUGAAUUCGGCCCUAAGUGUUGCAUGAAUCUACCCUUUGUAUUUAAAAGUUGAUUCUGCAUUCUAAAGUGAAUUCCAAGUGUCUAUUUCAUUGCUUUGCUUGCUAUUUCUUUAAGAAUCUUUGUUAACCCCCAAGCCCUGUUACAACCCUUGACUUCAAUCUUGAGUGUUGUGUGUUUCAAUUUGUGGAGUUCGAAAUUGGUAUGAGCAUAUGGUGUCACUGGUUCUCGCAUUUAAGUAGUAGCAUUCCAUUCAAGAGAUCAUAUCUAAACAUGCUUAGUAACUCCAGAAAAUUGCUUUCUUUGUUAAAACAUUUGUGAGUCCUAGUCUUUCGUGUUUACAUCAAUCUUCUCACUUAUAGUAGUGUAUGGUGUGUAGUUAGAAAAUGUGUGUGAAAAUAGAGAGUAUCUUGUAAGGAAUUGAGCAAAUUCUCUAAGGCAUGUUACUACAUUCAAAACAUCAAUUUAAUUGGUUAAUUGUGAACUAGUAAGUGGUGAUUGUGAUUAAGUAUGUGCUCAAGUGUAAAGAUGACCAAAAUCAGUGGGAAUGAUGAUUUUUAACAUGUCAUUUUUCAUUAAAAAUCGCUGAGGCAAAUGUUGGAAGGUCUAGGUUGUGUUUUGUUUGUUUUGUUUUGCUCGAGGACUAUCAAAAGCUAAAUGUGGGGGAAUUUGAUAGGAGCAUAUUUAUGCGACUGAGUUAGCUUAUUCUCACGCAUUUAUGUUGCUAUUUCUUAGUUAAUUAUGUAUUUUAAGCUACUUUUGUGUGUUUGUAGGUCCAUAGGCCUUAUAAAGCAAUAAGAUGCAUUUUGGUGCAUUUUGGAGCAGUUUUGGGAUUGGAAUGGAUAGCACAUGCAUGGAGCAAGGUGGAUGGAUGAAAUUGAAGACUAAAGAGGCUA